CGCGGGGUAGAGCAGUUGGUAGCUCGUCGGGCUCAUAACCCGGAGGUCGGUGGUUCAAGUCCGCCCCCCGCAA
rnacentral:tRNA from 1 species